CUGAGAAGCAAUCUAAGAUACUGGGCUCGGCCAUUAAGUUCUUUAGGUUCGAGCAACGAUCCUGAAGACAUGGCUGAAGUCUCCUCUUGGCAGGUUUAAAAAAAACAAAACCUUCUUUCUACCUUUUUCGUGAUUUCCUUGAGCUUAAACUGAUUUUUGUGUGCAGGCUUCAUGGGAAGUCGAGUUCAAAGCCCUUUUGUCCAGCACUACUGGAGUGGCUGG
rnacentral:lncRNA from 1 species